GAUGAACGCUGGCGGCGUGCCUAAUACAUGCAAGUCGAGCGAACAGACGAGGAGCUUGCUCCUCUGACGUUAGCGGCGGACGGGUGAGUAACACGUGGAUAACCUACCUAUAAGACUGGGAUAACUUCGGGAAACCGGAGCUAAUACCGGAUAAUAUAUUGAACCGCAUGGUUCAAUAGUGAAAGACGGUUUUGCUGUCACUUAUAGAUGGAUCCGCGCCGCAUUAGCUAGUUGGUAAGGUAACGGCUUACCAAGGCAACGAUGCGUAGCCGACCUGAGAGAGUGAUCGGCCACACUGGAACUGAGACACGGUCCAGGCUCCUACGGGAGGCAGCAGUAGGGAAUCUUCCGCAGUGGGCGAAAGCCUGACGGAGCAACGCCGCGUGAGUGAUGAAGGUCUUCGGAUCGUAAAACUCUGUUAUUAGGGAAGAACAAAUGUGUAAGUAACUAUGCACGUCUUGACGGUACCUAAUCAGAAAGCCACGGCUAACUACGUG
rnacentral:rRNA from 1 species